CAGAGAUGAGAGCAAAUUGGGCUUUACUAUUUCUAACUGUAUGAAAAGAUCACAGUAAUGUGAAAGCCUGUGAUAUUUUUUAUUAAGGCUUGAUAACUGCACCACUCAUACAUAUUCAAGUUUCAUCAAAAGUAAAUACAAGAAAAAAGCUGUCACAGUCCUGAACUUGAUAGCCUAUAUGUCAUUCCUGAAGGGUGCAGUGGAAAACCUCCACAGCAGUGGGUGAUGCUGCCAAACAACAAAAAUCUUGCACAUUUCUAAACAAAAGACAACAUAUCACAGCAAGAGUACAUAUGGCUGUGGAUUGGCUGUACAGUAGAUAGAAUUAAAAGUAAAGUACAGGGUAUGAAAGCCAACAAUCCUAAAUAAUGGAGUAAAAGUGGAAAGAAAAAUAUAAGAAAACUUGUGUGUGUAGAAACAUGUCUAGGGAAGUGGUUUAAUAGUCUGUCUCUGCCAGCCUGCAAAGAGAUGCUGCACUGGCGACAACAAGGCUGUCUGCUUUUAUCCUGACAGAAAAAAAAAAAAAAUACAUUGACAUAUACUCAAACUACUUGAUAUGAAUUUUGUGAUGAAGCCUCAAUAAAGUAUGUGUAACACUCCUGCAUGAAGUUCCACUAUUCAGGGCUACUGUAGUGCAGAUGGACAGGGUGAAUCGUUGUGUGCUUUUGAAGAGAGAGAGAGAUCAAUGAUACAUCUACUGUGUCAAGUUGUACGAUAAAAAAUAAAUAAAAAGAGACAGCUAUAUUUCACACCAAACGAGGAUCAAUAAAGACGCCAUAGUUGCUCUAUUGUGGCUGCUGCUGAUGGAGGAUUUUGUAUUGCUACUUGCUUCUGUGAUAGAUCUUUUACUUGAAUUCAAAGGUGAACUGUGAGAUGAGAGCUUGGUGUUUAAUUUUUACGGGCUGACACCAAAGCAUGACAUUUACUGACAUUUUACCCCUGUAAAUCAUUUUAUACUGCAGUGUAUACACCGAAGAUGGAAAUAUCUUGAAUUAACUUCCCACCUUCAGAAAUGCACAGAACAGAAAUAUUAUCACCCUUUAAGCAGAUAUAGCUAGCACGUUACCAAACUGUUGCCUUAUUUAGCAACUUCAACAUAACUUGGAAUCAUUUUCCAGGCAAUUUGAUGAAUGUAAGCUCAAUAUUAACUCUCCUUUUGUCUCCACCAACUCAAGAGAGAAAUAUCUGGUUCUGUCUGGCAGGUAGUGUUCAGUUAUUUUUAGAGCUUUUUCACUGAAAACAAAAACGGCCGAUAAGGACACUGUGAGGUCAGUGGAAGUUGUGGUCCUUAAAUUAAAACAAUGGGCUGAAAGCUGCUGAAACACUCUGUUUUAACUGUGAAAUAAAAAACAGACAGAAAGACAGGCAGCAGAGCAGUCAGACAGACGCCCAGCGUUGUACUUGUUUCUGCCAACAGGGGGGGCUGGCCGCUGGCUGUAACAAGGUCAAAAUCAAAACCUUCAUAAUGGAGUUGUCCAAUCACAUUCUCUUUUUUCUUGUCGCUAGGUAAAGAAAAGGUAAGCUGGCUCACUCAUUGGUUGGGAGAUCUUAACCGAAGUACCGAAACAACUUUUCCAAAGCGCCACAGCCGGAGCUUGAAAAAACUGUUUUCAUGUUGGAUGAAGUGAAGAAGACGGAAGGAGUUGGUCGAGGGUCUGCAGUGGACUUCACAUGAACAAUAAUCACAACCUGGAAUAAUUUUUAUGGAAAACCCUCUUCAUUCUUUUGACCGCCGGACCCUUACGGACUAAAGGAUUAUAAACAAUUGAGACAAGAAGUCCGUUCGAGACAAUCGGACUUCAGGACUUGAAAAAGGAGACGAGUGGGCCACAUGAGGAGGAUGGCCAGUGACAGAUAGGAGAGGAGACUGGUUAUCAACUCUGUCAGACAGUCGAUCAGGAUGACUAACGGUGUAACAACGUCAGGUUCUACCACAUCGGGUCCUGCAGUGUUUGGAAGCAAGAGUGAAGAGUCAUUAAAGACACGACACACACCCACUGCGAGGAACACGCGCAGCCUCCGUGAACUCUAGUGACUGGUGGAAGGGCCCUUUAUCCGACAGCAGCCAGCCCAGGGAGCCGAGGGCGCUGUCGCC